GAUGUGUUGUUUGUAUCCAUGUGAAGUGCAGGAGGGUGAGAGUUAUUAACCUUUCCACCGCGAUGGCCACCAGCGUGAAGACCGACGCCGAGACUGAAGCUCCCUGGACGAGUCCACUCAUUUUACAGAUGACCACAUCAAACGGCCAGCCUGCGCCACACAUAAUGAGAGAAAACAUCAUCACAGUGAUCCAGUGACCUGCUGCGAGAUGAAUUCAUGACGUCUGAUGUACAGUGCACCAGGGGAAGUGCUCUGGACAGAUCUAUUUCUGUGGUGAAUAAACCUCUCUUCCCAUGAUACUAACGCCAACGGUGUGAUCAAAGAAAACAUGAGAGAUGACAUUAAAAUAGAAGAAGUUUGAAAGUGGCCGGAGAUUCACUUUAUUGUGAUGUUUUGUUUACACGCACGAUGAAGCACACCAGGAUGUUUCCCAGCAUGCACAGCGAGAAGAUGAGCACGUAGGCCAGGAUGAUGACGGAGGCCACGGCGAGGGAAUGCUGGUAGAACGACUUCUGUGAGGCGGCUGUGAAAUUGUUCUUUACGGACUGUUUCUCCUCCGGUUCGAGUCUUUCCAUGCAUCAGGAUGAAUGAUGCAUCUGACUCAGGCAGAAUCCAUGGUGUGUGGGUCUCUGGAGAGAUGGAGAGAUGGAGAGCUGGCGGCUAUAUCAGCACAAACACGCCGGACGCUUCUGAACUCAUUCAUCCGCCCUUGUGUUAAACCCAUCUGCACUGAACGCACAUCAUUCAUUCGCUGCAUUGUUUAGAGAGACCUGCGGAGCGCCACCAACUUUCUGCAGCUUUUGUGUAUAUCAGUGUGAUUUCUGCUAAUGAUGAGUCUGAAUAUAUCCAGCCUGGAAGGUCAAAUAUUUAGUAGGGAAUAUAAAAUGAAUGAAAGUGGGUGGACAAACAGUGACUAGUUCAUCUCAUGUGAGAUUCCAGUGCAGUCAGAAGCAGGUUUAUACCACAUGUCAUUUAUAUGAUCUUUAAUUGCAUGUCUUAUUUUAUUAUUUUAUUUCAACUAAUUGCUAGUUUUCAAGAAUAUAGUAAAAAAAAAAAAGACUAAAGCACAAAAAAAAAAAAAAAAAAAACACUACUCCAAACAAAAUAAAUAUUAACCGCAUUAAAAACCUUAAACUUAUUUUAUUAGUUAGUUGGCCAUUCAACAUUUUUCCUUUUCAUUUAGUGCAUAAAGUACUUAAAAAAGAUCAAACUAAUAAUAAAAAAUCCACAUUUAAACAUAAGAAACACUAAAACCAUAAAAGACGAUGUUGUGAAACAAAAACAGAAUAAAUAAAUAAAUAAAAUUUUGACAUAAAUAUAACACACCAAAACAUACAAAAACAACAACAUUGCUAAAACGUAUACAUAUUUUGAAUAUUAAUAAAAGCUAUAAUAUCAUCUCAGCGAUGUUCGAGUGUACACAUGUGCAGCACACAUUUAUUUUAUCAUGUUUUAUUUUUGAUGCACUUAAUUCAGCAGAAACUAUGGUGCAAAUGAGCUGUAAAUAUAUUUAUCAACACCAUCACUGAAAUAAACAGAUGCAUGCAAAUUGGCUGAUAUAAAACAUUAUCUUUUAAGUGUUUGUUUUUAAAUUCUUUUGCAUUGCACUCUAAAAUUAAUUAAAACGUGACUAUGUUUUUAAUUAGGAUUGGGUUUAAUCAUAUGAAGUCAUUCAGGUAUAAACACCAUGUGGUGCCGUUUUCCCAGAAAGUUUUUAUGAUUGUGUUUUUUAAUGUUUUCUUCUGGUUUGCACUUCAUAGUCCUGGUCCACAUCACAUCUCUAAUCUGACAAGAUUUCAUACAAAUGUCAUCAUCAGAAACAUUCACACCUCAUACUCUUUAAAUCACGGUUCGACUUGAGUGUAGAAGACAAAAAACACUUGGAAAUAUAUAAUGCAUGUUCUCUGGCCCUGUUUGGUCAAUCACUGCUGUAAUAUUGAUUUCAUGAACAUUAAAACAAAAUGCAAAAGAGUUAACACGCGGUGCA